rnacentral:rRNA from 1 species
CAGCCGCCGCGGUAAUACGUAGGGUGCGAGCGUUAAUCGGAAUUACUGGGCGUAAAGCGUGCGCAGGCGGUUAUAUAAGACAGAUGUGAAAUCCCCGGGCUCAACCUGGGACCUGCAUUCGUGACUGUAUAGCUAGAGUACGGUAGAGGGGGAUGGAAUUCCGCGUGUAGCAGUGAAAUGCGUAGAUAUGCGGAGGAACACCGAUGGCGAAGGCAAUCCCCUGGACCUGUACUGACGCUCAUGCACGAAAGCGUGGGGAGCAAACAGGAUUAGAUACCCGUGUAGUCCCUGUCUCUUAUAC